rnacentral:rRNA from 1 species
GAUGAACGCUAGCGGCAUGCCUAACACAUGCAAGCCGAGCGGUAAGGUUUCUUCUGCCGUGCGCGCGCGUCGUACGCGUGCGUAUCACGUGUGCAACCUGCGUUUAUCUGGGUGAUAGCAGUUCGAAAGAAAGAGUAUUACACCAUAAAGUAUUGAACUGCAUCGGUUAUUGUUGAAAGCUCCGGCGGGUAGAGAUGGGCACGCGCAAGAUUACCGAGUUGGUGAGGGAACGGCUCACCAAGGCGCUGCACCUUAGGGGGGCUGGGAGGGUGAUCCCCGACACUGGUACGGAGACACGGACCAGAGUCCUACGGCAGGCAGCAGUGAGGAAUAUUGGUCAAUGGGUGCAAGCCUGAACCAGCCAUCCCGCGUGAAGGACGACUGCCCUAGGGGUUGUAAACUUCUUUUGGAUAGGGAUAAACCUACACUCGGGAGGGUAGCUGACGGUACUAGAAGAAUAAGCACCGGCUAACUCCGUG